AAGAGCUAGGUCUGCACCCUCUGAGUCCCGCUAGGGGAAAGUGGGGAACCCAAGGAGGACGCAGGUCCUGGGUAGGGAAAGCCGAGGCCCAGCCUAAGUCUUGGCGGACAUCGCCUCUUGCUUCCCACAGUGCCGGGCGGCGGUGUCCGUCGCCUUCGCUGAAGUGGAGCGGCGGCUGCGCUCGGGUGGGGCGGCUCAAGCAGCGUUGCAGACGGAGCUGAGCGCUUGCGGGCCCCUGGGCCGCGCUGAAAACCAGGCGGAGCUGUUGGGGGCGCUGCAGGCACUGGUGGGAGGUGUAGUGCAGUAUGAUGGGCAGACGGGAGCGCCGCUAAGCGUGCGACAGCUCUGCGGACUUCUCCUCGGGGGCGGGGGCAACCGCAGCCACUCCACGCCCUACUGCGGGCUUCGUCGGGCGGUGCAGAUUGUCUUGCACAGCCUGGGCCAGAAGUGUUUAAGCUUUUCCCGAGCAGAGACAGUGGCACAGCUGAGGAGCACAGAACCUCAACUGUCUGGUGUGGGUGACCGGCAGUGGUUGUAUCAGACAUGUACCGAGUUCGGCUUCUAUGUCACCUGUGAGAAUCCCAGAUGUCCUUUCUCCCAGCUCCCAGCACUGCCCUCCCAGCUAGACCUAUGUGAGCAGGUGUUUGGGCUCUCAGCCUUGUCAGUAGCCCAGGCUGUGGCUCAGACGAACUCCUACUACGGUGGCCAGACCCCUGGGGCUAACAAAGUGCUGUUUGUUAAUGGGGACACAGACCCCUGGCAUGUGCUAAGUGUAACACAGGCUUUAGGAUCCUCAGAAUCAACUCUUCUUAUCCGCACUGGCUCCCACUGCUUGGACAUGGCACCUGAGAGGCCCUCAGACUCCCCCAGCCUCCGCCUAGGGCGCCAGAACAUCUUCCAGCAGCUACAGACCUGGCUCAAGCUGGCAAAGGAGAGCCAGAUUAAGGGUGAAGUCUGAAUCU
rnacentral:sRNA from 1 species